AGCGAACGCUGGCGGCAGGCCUAACACAUGCAAGUCGAACGAACUCUUCGGAGUUAGUGGCGGACGGGUGAGUAACACGUGGGAACGUGCCUUCUGGUUCGGAAUAACUCAGGGAACCUUGUGCUAAUACCGAAUGUGCCCUUCGGGGGAAAGAUUUAUCGCCAUUAGAGCGGCCCGCGUCUGAUUAGCUAGUUGGUGAGGUAACGGCUCACCAAGGCGACGAUCAGUAGCUGGUCUGAGAGGAUGACCAGCCACACUGGGACUGAGACACGGCCCAGACUCCUACGGGAGGCAGCAGUGGGGAAUCUUGCGCAAUGGGCGAAAGCCUGACGCAGCCAUGCCGCGUGAAUGAUGAAGGUCUUAGGAUUGUAAAAUUCUUUCACCGGGGACGAUAAUGACGGUACCCGGAGAAGAAGCCCCGGCUAACUUCGUG
rnacentral:rRNA from 1 species